rnacentral:tRNA from 1 species
GAGGGCACAGCUCAGUGGUAGAGCACGUGCUUAGCAUGCACGAGGUCCUGGGUUCAACCCCCAGUCCCUCCA